GACGAUCUUGCCGAUACUGGGGGAACAACAUCCGCGGUACGAGGUGUUAUAACUGUACCCGUUGGUACAUUUGGCGGACUUCGGGGUGACGGCGAGGCUUCCAACUGCGUAACUAUUUUCUGCGCACAUCUGUAAAGAAGAAAACUCACCGUAUCCUGGUGGAUGCUUUACCGGCGCGGUAAUCUCGUUGGAACUCUUUGAUUGGAGUUUGCUCUGAGCAGAAGGAAGAUUUACCGCUGCAAAAGUUCAAGAACAUUCCGAGGAGAGAAACGAUCACUUUGAACUUUUCUUACACAUCGCGAGUAUCUUUACACCCCUCUCGAAUAUACCGGGUGAGUCGGUGCCAUCAUUAAUAAAAUGACGGAAAAAUUAAAAAUUUAAUUUUCAACUUUUUUCUCCGU